rnacentral:rRNA from 1 species
AUUGAACGCUGGCGGCAGGCCUAACACAUGCAAGUCGAACGGUAACAGGAAGAAGCUUGCUUCUUUGCUGACGAGUGGCGGACGGGUGAGUAAUGUCUGGGAAACUGCCUGAUGGAGGGGGAUAACUACUGGAAACGGUAGCUAAUACCGCAUAACGUCGCAAGACCAAAAAGGGGGGCCUUCGGGCCUCUUGCCAUCGGAUGUGCCCAGAUGGGAUUAGCUAGUAGGUGGGGUAACGGCUCACCUAGGCGACGAUCCCUAGCUGGUCUGAGAGGAUGACCAGCCACACUGGAACUGAGACACGGUCCAGACUCCUACGGGAGGCAGCAGUGGGGAAUAUUGCACAAUGGGCGCAAGCCUGAUGCAGCCAUGCCGCGUGUAUGAAGAAGGCCUUCGGGUUGUAAAGUACUUUCAGCGGGGAGGAAGGGAGUAAAGUUAAGACCUUUGCUCAUUGACGUUACCCGCAGAAGAAGGACCGGCUAACUCCGG